GGGAUGUGUAUGGAGAAAUCAAGUUUUAUUCAAAUGCUGAGCUAACUAGAUGAGAACCAGUUCUGAUUUGGAAGCCUAGUAAUGAUGAUUUGUCCAGCUCCAGAUGUGCAUUUCUUUAACUGAGAGACCAUGGAUGAGCAGUUUAUAGCCAUGUCGUCCCCAGUGCCGAGCCUGUGCCCCAUCUUUUAUCAUCCCACGCCUGUGCUCCUCUGCACUGCACCCCGUGUCUCCCGUGCUCAAGGUCUCUGCUGUCACCCCAGGCCGGACUCUUAUCUCAUUGCUGUGAAAAUCAAAAGGCACAAAAGCCACAGCUGUUCCCCUGAAUGGCAGAUACAAGCUUGGAAGGCACUAUGCAGACACCUAUCACGCUCUUUUCUGUCUGAACUUGUGUGCAUCUGAAAGUAAUGGUUUCAGAAACCACUUCGACUGCCCAAAGGCACCAAAGGUCUCAGAGUCUUUCCAUUCCUGCUUGUUCUCCACAAAAACUUCAUUACAUUAAAACAUAUAUGUGGGUAUAUACAUAUGUAUAUAUAAUAAGUGUGUAUAAGUGUGUAUAUACAUAGAUACAGAUAUGGAAU